rnacentral:rRNA from 1 species
AUUGAACGCUGGCGGCAGGCCUAACACAUGCAAGUCGAGCGGAAACGAUCCUAGCUUGCUAGGAGGCGUCGAGCGGCGGACGGGUGAGUAAUGCAUAGGAAUCUGCCCGGUAGUGGGGGAUAACCUGGGGAAACCCAGGCUAAUACCGCAUACGCCCUACGGGGGAAAGCAGGGGAUCUUCGGACCUUGCGCUAUCGGAUGAGCCUAUGUCGGAUUAGCUAGUUGGUGAGGUAACGGCUCACCAAGGCUGCGAUCCGUAGCUGGUCUGAGAGGAUGAUCAGCCACAUCGGGACUGAGACACGGCCCGAACUCCUACGGGAGGCAGCAGUGGGGAAUAUUGGACAAUGGGCGAAAGCCUGAUCCAGCCAUGCCGCGUGUGUGAAGAAGGCCUUCGGGUUGUAAAGCACUUUCAGUGAGGAAGAAAGCCUUGAGGUUAAU